CAUGCCCUAGAUUUGAUCUAGAAACUAUCAAAAAAGGAUCAUAGGAUAUGAAUAAAUGCAACAUCUGAAUUUAAAUAAUUGAUCAUAUCAAUUUUGCAAUCAAAUCGAAUCUGAAACAAACAUUCUAAUCAGGAGUAGAUCUUAUUUAUUGAGAUUAGAUUUUUUACCAGAGUGUGGAUCAACGAUCACCACUGUUGAUAGACAUAGUAAAAUAUUCUUCCUG
rnacentral:lncRNA from 1 species